rnacentral:rRNA from 1 species
GACGAACGCUGGCGGCGUGCUUAACACAUGCAAGUCGAACGGAAAGGCCCUGCUUUUGUGGGCGGCUCGAGUGGCGAACGGGUGAGUAACACGUGAGUAACCUGCCCUUGACUUUGGGAUAACUUCAGGAAACUGGGGCUAAUACCGGAUAGGAGCUCCUGCUGCAUGGUGGGGGUGGGAAAGUUUCGGCGGUUGGGGAUGGACUCGCGGCUUAUCAGCUUGUUGGUGGGGUAGUGGCUUACCAAGGCUUUGACGGGUAGCCGGCCUGAGAGGGUGACCGGCCACAUUGGGACUGAGAUACGGCCCAGACUCCUACGGGAGGCAGCAGUGGGGAAUAUUGCACAAUGGACGGAAGCCUGAUGCAGCAACGCCGCGUGCGGGAUGACGGCCUUCGGGUUGUAAACCGCUUUCGCCUGUGACGAAGCGUGAGUGACGGUAAUGGGUAAAGAAGCACCGGCUAACUACGUG